rnacentral:rRNA from 1 species
CCUACGGGAGGCAGCAGUGGGGAAUAUUGCACAAUGGGGGAAACCCUGAUGCAGCGACGCCGCGUGGGUGACGAAGUAUUUCGGUAUGUAAAGCCCUAUCAGCAGGGAAGAAGAUGACAGUACCUGACCAAGAAGCCCCGGCUAACUACGUGCCAGCAGCCGCGGUAAUACGUAGGGGGCAAGCGUUAUCCGGAUUUACUGGGUGUAAAGGGAGCGUAGGUGGCAUGGCAAGCCAGAAGUGAAAACCCGGGGCUUAACCCCGCGGAUUGCUUUUGGAACUGUCAGGCUGGAGUGCAGGAGGGGCAGGCGGAAUUCCUGGUGUAGCGGUGAAAUGCGUAGAUAUCAGGAGGAACACCGGUGGCGAAGGCGGCCUGCUGGACUGUAACUGACACUGGGGCUCGAAAGCGUGGGGAGCAAACAGGAUUAGAUACCCGAGUAGUC